rnacentral:rRNA from 1 species
GGGUUGUGAGGUUAAGCGACUAAGCGUACACGGUGGAUGCCCUGGCAGUCAGAGGCGAUGAAGGACGUGCUAAUCUGCGAUAAGCGUCGGUAAGGUGAUAUGAACCGUUAUAACCGGCGAUUUCCGAAUGGGGAAACCCAGUGUGUUUCGACACACUAUCAUUAACUGAAUCCAUAGGUUAAUGAGGCGAACCGGGGGAACUGAAACAUCUAAGUACCCCGAGGAAAAGAAAUCAACCGAGAUUCCCCCAGUAGCGGCGAGCGAACGGGGAGCAGCCCAGAGCCUGAAUCAGUGUGUGUGUUAGUGGAAGCGCCUGGAAAGGCGCGCGAUACAGGGUGACAGCCCCGUACACAAAAAUGCACAUACUGUGAGCUCGAUGAGUAGGGCGGGACACGUGGUAUCCUGUCUGAAUAUGGGGGGACCAUCCUCCAAGGCUAAAUACUCCUGACUGACCGAUAGUGAACCAGUACCGUGAGGGAAAGGCGAAAAGAACCCCGGCGAGGGGAGUGAAAAAGAACCUGAAACCGUGUACGUACAAGCAGUGGGAGCACGCUUCGGCGUGUGACUGCGUACCUUUUGUAUAAUGGGUCAGCGACUUAUAUUCUGUAGCAAGGUUAACCGAAUAGGGGAGCCGAAGGGAAACCGAGUCUUAACUGGGCGUUAAGUUGCAGGGUAUAGACCCGAAACCCGGUGAUCUAGCCAUGGGCAGGUUGAAGGUUGGGUAACACUAACUGGAGGACCGAACCGACUAAUGUUGAAAAAUUAGCGGAUGACUUGUGGCUGGGGGUGAAAGGCCAAUCAAACCGGGAGAUAGCUGGUUCUCCCCGAAAGCUAUUUAGGUAGCGCCUCGUGAACUCAUCUUCGGGGGUAGAGCACUGUUUCGGCAAGGGGUCAUCCCGACUUACCAACCCGAUGCAAACUGCGAAUACCGGAGAAUGUUAUCACGGGAGACACACGGCGGGUGCUAACGUCCGUCGUGAAGAGGGAAACAACCCAGACCGCCAGCUAAGGUCCCAAAGUCAUGGUUAAGUGGGAAACGAUGUGGGAAGGCCCAGACAGCCAGGAUGUUGGCUUAGAAGCAGCCAUCAUUUAAAGAAAGCGUAAUAGCUCACUGGUCGAGUCGGCCUGCGCGGAAGAUGUAACGGGGCUAAACCAUGCACCGAAGCUGCGGCAGCGACACUAUGUGUUGUUGGGUAGGGGAGCGUUCUGUAAGCCUGUGAAGGUGUGCUGUGAGGCAUGCUGGAGGUAUCAGAAGUGCGAAUGCUGACAUAAGUAACGAUAAAGCGGGUGAAAAGCCCGCUCGCCGGAAGACCAAGGGUUCCUGUCCAACGUUAAUCGGGGCAGGGUGAGUCGACCCCUAAGGCGAGGCCGAAAGGCGUAGUCGAUGGGAAACAGGUUAAUAUUCCUGUACUUGGUGUUACUGCGAAGGGGGGACGGAGAAGGCUAUGUUGGCCGGGCGACGGUUGUCCCGGUUUAAGCGUGUAGGCUGGUUUUCCAGGCAAAUCCGGAAAAUCAAGGCUGAGGCGUGAUGACGAGGCACUACGGUGCUGAAGCAACAAAUGCCCUGCUUCCAGGAAAAGCCUCUAAGCAUCAGGUAACAUUAAAUCGUACCCCAAACCGACACAGGUGGUCAGGUAGAGAAUACCAAGGCGCUUGAGAGAACUCGGGUGAAGGAACUAGGCAAAAUGGUGCCGUAACUUCGGGAGAAGGCACGCUGAUAUGUAGGUGAAGUCCCUCGCGGAUGGAGCUGAAAUCAGUCGAAGAUACCAGCUGGCUGCAACUGUUUAUUAAAAACACAGCACUGUGCAAACACGAAAGUGGACGUAUACGGUGUGACGCCUGCCCGGUGCCGGAAGGUUAAUUGAUGGGGUUAGCGGUAACGCGAAGCUCUUGAUCGAAGCCCCGGUAAACGGCGGCCGUAACUAUAACGGUCCUAAGGUAGCGAAAUUCCUUGUCGGGUAAGUUCCGACCUGCACGAAUGGCGUAAUGAUGGCCAGGCUGUCUCCACCCGAGACUCAGUGAAAUUGAACUCGCUGUGAAGAUGCAGUGUACCCGCGGCAAGACGGAAAGACCCCGUGAACCUUUACUAUAGCUUGACACUGAACAUUGAGCCUUGAUGUGUAGGAUAGGUGGGAGGCUUUGAAGUGUGGACGCCAGUCUGCAUGGAGCCGACCUUGAAAUACCACCCUUUAAUGUUUGAUGUUCUAACGUUGACCCGUAAUCCGGGUUGCGGACAGUGUCUGGUGGGUAGUUUGACUGGGGCGGUCUCCUCCUAAAGAGUAACGGAGGAGCACGAAGGUUGGCUAAUCCUGGUCGGACAUCAGGAGGUUAGUGCAAUGGCAUAAGCCAGCUUGACUGCGAGCGUGACGGCGCGAGCAGGUGCGAAAGCAGGUCAUAGUGAUCCGGUGGUUCUGAAUGGAAGGGCCAUCGCUCAACGGAUAAAAGGUACUCCGGGGAUAACAGGCUGAUACCGCCCAAGAGUUCAUAUCGACGGCGGUGUUUGGCACCUCGAUGUCGGCUCAUCACAUCCUGGGGCUGAAGUAGGUCCCAAGGGUAUGGCUGUUCGCCAUUUAAAGUGGUACGCGAGCUGGGUUUAGAACGUCGUGAGACAGUUCGGUCCCUAUCUGCCGUGGGCGCUGGAGAACUGAGGGGGGCUGCUCCUAGUACGAGAGGACCGGAGUGGACGCAUCACUGGUGUUCGGGUUGUCAUGCCAAUGGCACUGCCCGGUAGCUAAAUGCGGAAGAGAUAAGUGCUGAAAGCAUCUAAGCACGAAACUUGCCCCGAGAUGAGUUCUCCCUGACUCCUUGAGAGUCCUGAAGGAACGUUGAAGACGACGACGUUGAUAGGCCGGGUGUGUAAGCGCAGCGAUGCGUUGAGCUAACCGGUACUAAUGAACCGUGAGGCUUAACCUUACAACGCCGAAGGUGUUU